UUUCAGAGUCAUCAUCCCUGGAGGAAACUGUCAUGCUGUGAUCCAAAUCUACGAGUGGACCUGUCUUUGAUGUCGGUGAAUGGUGACUCACAACACUGUCCCAGAUGCUGUCACCGUCGCUAUGAGAGCAGAUUUGCAACAUCUUGUCAUAGGCACACAUCAGUGCUCCUGCCUGCUGCCUUCAUCCCAGAGGACAGCCUAACACCUGCUGCUGGCAGCGUGCCGGCCCUUCCGGGAACAAAUGUUCCAUUGCUGCUGGGUGAUAGGACAGGACAGACUCGAGAUUUCAAGUGAACUGGCUAAAGGCACCCUAGGGCUUGGUGCACCCACCCCAGCACCCAGAUGGUUGCCAUUUCUGUAGGAAUAUUAGCCAGUGAGUGGUAUGUUUAUAGCUGUCUCCUAUAAAUAAAGAACAAGAGAAAAAUCAACAGCACUCUGGAUGGGAAGAUUUCUAGCAUUAGCUGUAGUUCGUUAGGAAAAAGAUCCCACUUUUUUUUUCCAGUUAAUAUUAUACUGCUGCAGUAAUAAAUAUCUUGUUUGGAUUUGCUCACAUUAGGAACUUGUAAGGGAGUUAAUUUUUUAAUUUCAUUUUUUUUAACAUCAGAAUAUAAUUAAAAAUACAAUUCUGGAAUGAUAAUGUGCUUCUUUCUGGCAGAAUAUCUUUAAUCUUACAUCAUUUACAAUACCUAGAUCAAAAAAAAAGACACCAUUUUUAUUUUUCAUGUAGUAUUCAACUACUAUAUAUAUAUUUAUCGUGUUUAGGUAUAAGACAGCAACAACAAAGUGGGAAAAUAUAUUUUGUAAGUGUUUCUUUUAAAGGUUUUUUUCAACACACUCAAAGAUGUAAAAUUAAAGGAUACUGUGCAGUGGCUCUUGAAAGCAUGAGUUUCUCACUGAGGUCAAGGAGAGUUAAAAGGACUUGUGGCUUGGAAUAAGCAUCUCAAGAUCAGGUCUCUCAUAUAGUAUGUAAUGUGCUUCUUACAUUUAUUACCCAUUCCACAUCCAGUGGGGUGAUAAUAGGAGUGUUAUGAUGUCUUCACUUCAUGUGGAUUGAAUACCAGGCUAAUAAAGAUGAGGGUGGCAUUUUUUUCCAGCUAUUAUACUCAAAUUUCAAAUAAGACCAUUUUUAUUCUCUGCUUUUGAAAAGGCUUUUUGUCCACAUUAUUCCCCAAAGCUUAGAUCAAAACCACGUUAUGUUUCUGA